GGCUGGUCUGAGUGCAGGGCUAUUAACGACUAGUUGAUCGCAACCAGUUAAAAAUUCCUUUGUUCCUUCUCCACUCCACUGCUUUCCUUGACUAGUACAA
ensembl:misc_RNA Y_RNA Y RNA